rnacentral:lncRNA from 1 species
AAAAUUGGACAUUUUAUUAUGCAAGUUUAAGGCAAAUUAUAUAAAAAAUUAAUUUUUAAGCAAAUUCAAGGGCAAAUUGAGCCUUAUUCCAAGGAACAAAUUACUAUAAACAAGCAAUAAUAUAUACCUAUUACCCGACAUUAGCGAAGGGGAAAAAACACCUUCAACAUUAUAACUAUAAUGUGGCAACUGAAUAAAGAAUAGUAAAAAUAAAUAUGAUAAGGCUAUAGAUUGAGGAGUAAAUUAAUUGGCAAUCCAAAUGGACUUUGCACCAUAAACCCAAGGGAGGUAUCAAAAUCCCAAUGAAUUAUAUCAUUACAUAAUAUUAUUAAAACACCACAUUGAGCAAGCACAUAGCUAUAAUUCAAACACCUUGAAUGAGUUCUUAGAUAUCUGAUGGAGCUGCCAUGCCAGCUAACUUCAUAAAUCUGCAAAAAUUGCAAAAAUAUCGCCAUGGAUAUAAUCAUUAUCUACCAAGCUAACCAAAAAGUAGUUGUCCUGCACCUGCAAAUAUUAACAUGUAACAUUUUGUCAAUUACUAAAAAAAAAAAUUUUUUUUUUUUUUUUUUUUUUUUUUUUUGAAAAGAUCUUAAAAAACACAAGAUACCUCUUCAAGCAACUUUCUGGAUGGAUCACCCUCUGGGUAUAAUGAAGCCCAUCCUCUAGACCAGAUUUCAAAUGCCUCAUCCUUCCAUACAUUGAAGCUGGCCGGAUCAACAACAGUGGGUUGGAUAAUCUGCUUUGCUGGGAAGACUCCCCAUGUCACUGCAUUCACAUCAUUUGGACCGACGUUGGAUACCACAGUUCCUGCCCUGUCCACAGCCAUGUAAGUCAAUUGAGGCCAAGCUUUGGACUUGUUAACAAGAUCUUGUAGCUUGAUCGGGGAGCAGAAAAACUCCAAAUAAGCUUUCUGAUAAACAUAUCCUCCUGGUCCUCCCCAACCUGCGGACAUAUCAAGCAAGGUGGAAAAGUGAGAGAUGUCCGAUGUUGUUUUCAUGCCUCCAAUUAAAAAAAAAAAAAAAAUCUAAAAUGUUAUUCUCUAAACAACUUUAGAAUCAGUACAUUUUCCACCAGAAAUGAAUCUCACACUGGUAAUAAUUUAUUUGAGAUAAAAAUUGGACAUUUUAUUAUGCAAGUUUAAGGCAAAUUAUAUAAAAAAUUAAUUUUUAAGCAAAUUCAAGGGCAAAUUGAGCCUUAUUCCAAGGAACAAAUUACUAUAAACAAGCAAUAAUAUAUACCUAUUACCCGACAUUAGCGAAGGGGAAAAAACACCUUCAACAUUAUAACUAUAAUGUGGCAACUGAAUAAAGAAUAGUAAAAAUAAAUAUGAUAAGGCUAUAGAUUGAGGAGUAAAUUAAUUGGCAAUCCAAAUGGACUUUGCACCAUAAACCCAAGGGAGGUAUCAAAAUCCCAAUGAAUUAUAUCAUUACAUAAUAUUAUUAAAACACCACAUUGAGCAAGCACAUAGCUAUAAUUCAAACACCUUGAAUGAGUUCUUAGAUAUCUGAUGGAGCUGCCAUGCCAGCUAACUUCAUAAAUCUGCAAAAAUUGCAAAAAUAUCGCCAUGGAUAUAAUCAUUAUCUACCAAGCUAACCAAAAAGUAGUUGUCCUGCACCUGCAAAUAUUAACAUGUAACAUUUUGUCAAUUACUAAAAAAAAAAAUUUUUUUUUUUUUUUUUUUUUUUUUUGAAAAGAUCUUAAAAAACACAAGAUACCUCUUCAAGCAACUUUCUGGAUGGAUCACCCUCUGGGUAUAAUGAAGCCCAUCCUCUAGACCAGAUUUCAAAUGCCUCAUCCUUCCAUACAUUGAAGCUGGCCGGAUCAACAACAGUGGGUUGGAUAAUCUGCUUUGCUGGGAAGACUCCCCAUGUCACUGCAUUCACAUCAUUUGGACCGACGUUGGAUACCACAGUUCCUGCCCUGUCCACAGCCAUGUAAGUCAAUUGAGGCCAAG